GUGUCCCUAGGAGUUCUUUGCAAACACUUCACAAAAACAUUUUUUAAGAGCUUUUGUGAAGUGUAUGGGGGAACUCUCGGUGCUAC
rnacentral:pre_miRNA from 2 species